UAACAUCUAGCAACCCAGAUCAUUGAUCAACAUCUUAUUACACUACAUUAAAUAACAAACAACAAGAUCUAACAUCGGAUCAUAAAAUUUUUAAAUUCUAGGGUUUAUAUCUUUAUGCUUUGAUUUCUUGAAUCUGAUCCUUAGAUUUGUUAUGGUUGAUGGUGGGGCUUGAAUAUGGGACUGAACUAACACUAGAAUUUCGUGGGUUUUGAGAGAGAAGCUCUUGGAUAUGAGUUUGCAAAAAAUUGAGCAACUAAUGAAUUUCUCUCUCCUUGUGAUUAUAUAUUACAUGUAUAAAAGGUGUUGGCUGAUAGAUCUAGGCUGAUUUGCUGGAAAGUUAAUAACACAAUGUCAACAAUUAGGUCACCAACUCCUUAUUUGGUUAGAUUCACAAGCAAGCCUAAUAAAAAAAUCCAAAGAGGGGUAUUUUAGUCUUUUUGCUUGCACAUUUAAUGGCCAUUUUGUCAUUUGCCCUAACCCUUAGGGUUUAGGGUUU
rnacentral:lncRNA from 1 species